UUAACUAGUGGCUGGAUUAAUAACCCUAUAGUAUAAACUGAUGCAGCAGUUAAAAGCAAUCAGUAAGUUUGUUGUCCAUCCUCCCCAUGUAUUUAUUUUCUUCAAAACUAGAGACUGGUCUUCAUUCACCUUCUCAUGUCAUGGCUAUACAAAGCAAUCAACAUUCUGUAUCUCUAACUACGAUAGUAGAGGGGCAUUAUGUUUUCUGGUCUGUGCAUCUGUUCGUAUGUCCGUUCAUUUGUUCGUUCGUUCGUUUGUUCUUUCGUCUGUUCCUUCGUCCGUUCGUUCGUUUGUCUGUCCUGCUUCAAAUUAAAGUUUUUGGGUCAAGGUAGUUUUUGAUGAAGUUGAAGUCCAAUCAUCUUGAAACUUAGUACACAUGUU
rnacentral:lncRNA from 1 species